rnacentral:lncRNA from 1 species
AUCACCAAAACAAAUCAUAUUAUCAUAAAAAGUCAUACAUUUCAGAAACUCAUAAGAGAGAAAGAAGCAAAAUUCCUAUAAUUACUUUGACAAAUAAACCUUGAAACAAUCGAUAGAGCGGCAUAAAUAGAGCUGAAGGACAUUUAGCCGCGAUUUUGCAAGCAAACAGCAGAGACAGCAGUGCAACAUCAAUGCAAAUCAACGGACAACGAGCGGCAGUUCCAAGGCUCCAAAACAGCGGAAAAUGACCACAAACGGAACGGGGACUCGAUGACCUUGAACGUCUCCAGCGCUCAACCCCGAACAACUCACCGAAUGGACUUCAAAAUGGACUCCAUGAACUUGAAAUUGAAAAUCGAAAUUGAAACAGAAGAGAAGAGGCAGAAGCUUCUCUGUUUGUUUUUGUUGGAUUAAAAAUCAGGGCGUCCUCUUCUCACUCUGUUUUUCGCUUAAGUUGGUGUGUGUGUGUGAGAGCAGUGAGGAGCAGCGGUUGCUUCUUGGGUGGGAGGUGGUCUGUUCCAGCGGUUUUGGGUGGAAACAGAAGGUUGAAGCUGGUUGUUUGGCGUCGAUUUCAGGUUCAGAGAGUGGACUGGUGAGGGUGCCGCUACUGGUUUUGGUCUUAGAGUGUAGAAGAAGAUGGGUUCUUUCGUUUUUCUUUAUGGGGUGCGUCCAAGAAGAUGAGAUCCAGGGGGUGGAGGUUGUUGAAGAAACAGGCGCGGUUUUUUGGUUUUUUCAGGGGUGACUGAUUCUAUGCUCU